rnacentral:siRNA from 1 species
CGGCGGCGGAGGGUGUUGCCG